rnacentral:rRNA from 1 species
UGGGGAAUAUUGGACAAUGGGGGCAACCCUGAUCCAGCAAUGCCGCGUGUGUGAAGAAGGUUUUCGGAUUGUAAAGCACUUUCGGCGGGGACGAUGAUGACGGUACCCGCAGAAGAAGCCCCGGCUAACUUCGUGCCAGCAGCCGCGGUAAUACGAAGGGGGCUAGCGUUGCUCGGAAUGACUGGGCGUAAAGGGCGUGUAGGCGGUUUGUGCAGUCAGAUGUGAAAUCCCCGGGCUUAACCUGGGAGCUGCAUUUGAGACGUGCAGACUAGAGUGUGAGAGAGGGUUGUGGAAUUU